rnacentral:lncRNA from 1 species
ACUAUGUCCGCCACUAGUUGCAUGUACGCAAAGUUCAACUUUUUUCAAAAAUAUAUAGAACCUAAGAAUUUCAAAUAAUGUUUUGAAGAUUUCAAGAGAGUUUUGAUUCUAAAUAUUCGUGAUUUUCGAACUUGGAAAAAAAUUGAUUCUAGAGUUUUGAAGUUUGAAAAUUAAAAACCUUAUUUUCAAUUUCAUUAGCAUUAUCCGAAUUAAAAAUUUAGUCUUCCUAACAUUAAUUGAGUUAAAAAUAUCAAAAAGUGUUUUGUGUUGUGGCUUAUAUUAAUUUGACAAGGGAGAGAGGGCUAAAUAUUCGUGAUUUUCGAACUUGGAAAAAAAUUGAUUCUAGAGUUUUGAAGUUUGAAAAUUAAAAACCUUAUUUUCAAUUUCAUUAGCAUUAUCUGAAUUAAAAAUUUAGUCUCCCUAACAUUAAUUGAGUUAAAAAUAUCAAAAAGUGUUUUGUGUUGUGGCUUAUAUUAAUUUGACAAGGGAGAGAGGGGUCACAACAGAGAGAGAGAGUAGAGAGUGAAAUGUGUUUGUAGGGUUAUGUAGAGGAUGUGUUAUUCCCCCUACGCAAUGCCUUUAUUUAUAGUAAUAAGGAAGGGAAGAAUCUUUCUCCUCAAAUGAAUAAAAGUCCUAAUAGGGAAGAAUAACUAGUAUCAAAUCUAACCUAUGAUUUACACAAUCACACUUAAAUACAAUGUUUAUAACACGCCCCCUUGAAUGUGUAAAUACUCAAGUAGAUUCAGUAUCAUGUAGGGUUGAGGAAGUUGACCUGUCGACAUUAAUUCUGGGAACACACUAGUCUCAACUAAAGUAGGAACUUGCAAAUGGAACUAAGUCUCACAAAAAACCAAAUGGCUAUGGUAAAACCCAAUUAGGGACAAAACCCACAAUCUAAGGAAAAAUGCGUGAGAAAUGCAA